AGGGUUUGAUCCUGGCUCAGGACUAGCGCUGGCGGUGUGUCUUAGACAUGCAAGUCGAGCGGGGCGCAGUGUGGUAGCAAUACCGUGCUGCGCUUAGCGGCGAACGGGUGAGUAAUACAGGGGUAGCUACCCCCGAGGAGGAGCAUAACCCAUCGAAAGGUGGGCUAAUACUCCAUGUGCUGACUGGUGGGCAUCCUCCGGUCAGUAAAGGUGCCGCAAGGUGCCGCCUCGGGACGGGCUCCUGGCCUAUCAGCUUGAUGGCGGGGUAACGGCCCACCAUGGCUGAGACGGGUAGCUGGCGUGAGAGCGUGACCAGCCACAGGGGAACUGAGACACGGUCCCGACUCCUACGGGAGGCAGCAGUCUAGAAAUUUGGGCAAUGGACGAAAGUCUGACCCAGCGACACCGCGUGGAGGAUGAAGUCCUUCGGGAUGUAAACUCCUGUCAGGGGGAGCGAAGCCCGCUUAACCGCGGGUGACGGUACCCCCAGAGGAAGCCCCGGCUAACUACGUGCCAGCAGCCGCGGUAAUACGUAGGGGGCGAGCGUUGUCCGGAUUCACUGGGCGUAAAGGGUGUGUAGGCGGACUGGCGGGUCGCGGGUGAAAGCCCCCGGCUCAACCGGGGAACUGCUCGCGAAACUACCAGUCUGGAGGGCAGGAGAGGGAGUUGGAACUUCCGGUGUAGCGGUAAAAUGCGUGGAUAUCGGAAGGAACGCCGAUGGCGAAGGCAGGCUCCUGGAAUGCACCUGACGCUGAAACACGAAAGCUAGGGGAGCAAACAGGAUUAGAUACCCUGGUAGUCCUAGCCGUAAACGAUGCACACUGGGCGUGCCCGAUUCUGGGUGUGCCGCAGCCAACGCGUUAAGUGUGCCGCCUGGGGACUACGGCCGCAAGGUUGAAACUCAAAGGAAUUGACGGGGACCCGCACAAGCGGUGGAGGAUGUGGUUUAAUUCGAUGCUACGCGAAGAACCUUACCUGGGUUUGACAUGCUGGUGGUAGUGACCCGAAAGGGGAGCGACUCGGGUUUUUCCCGGGAGCCAGCACAGGUGCUGCAUGGCUGUCGUCAGCUCGUGCCGUGAGGUGUAUGGUUAAGUCCCGCAACGAGCGCAACCCCUGCCCUUAGUUGCUAACCCGUAAGGGUGCACUCUAAGGGGACUGCCUCUGUCAAGGAGGAGGAAGGUGGGGAUGACGUCAAGUCAGCAUGGCCUUUAUGCCCA
rnacentral:rRNA from 1 species